GACGAACGCUGGCGGCGCGCUUAACACAUGCAAGUCGAGCGAAGCGGCGGACGGGUGAGUAAAACGUGAGUAACCUGCAUUAGACAUUGGGAUAGCCUCGGGAAAACGGGAUUAAUACCAAAUGUUCUAAGAUGGACUCGCGUCCCAUUAGCUCGUUGGUGAGUUAACGGCCCACCAAGGGGACGAUGGGUAGCCGGCCUGAGAUGGUGAACGGCCACAUUGUAACGGAGAAACGGUCCAAACUCUACGGGAGGCAGCAGUGGGGAAUAUUGCACAAUGGAGGGAACUCUGAGGCAGCUACGCCGCGUGAACGAAGAAGGCUUUCGAGUCGUAAAGUUCUUUUAUAUGGGAAGCGGUACCAUAAGAAAAAGCCCCGGCUAACUACGUGCCAGCAGCCGCGGUAAUUC
rnacentral:rRNA from 1 species